rnacentral:rRNA from 1 species
UAAGGAAUAUUGGUCAAUGGACGCAAGUCUGAACCAGCCAUGCCGCGUGAAGGAUGAAGGUCCUCUGGAUUGUAAACUUCUUUUAUCUGGGACGAAAACGGGAUUUUUAUCUCAAUUGACGGUACCAGAGGAAUAAGCACCGGCUAACUCCGUGCCAGCAGCCGCGGUAAUACGGAGGGUGCGAGCGUUAUCCGGAUUUACUGGGUUUAAAGGGUGCGUAGGUGGGCUUAUAAGUCAGUGGUGAAAUCUCCGAGCUUAACUUGGAAACUGCCGUUGNUACUGUAGGUCUUGAAUUAUCUGGAGGUAAGCGGAAUAUGUCAUGUAGCGGUGAAAUGCUUAGAUAUGACAUAGAACACCAAUUGCGAAGGCAGCUUACUACAUAUAAAUUGACGCUGAGGCACGAAAGCGUGGGGA